AGGAGAGAUCAUCCUUGCAGCAAUGCUCUUUCUUGCCAAAAAAUGAUCGGAUUGCUGGUGUCCUUGGAGCUGCACUCUGAUGGCCUCUGCCAAGAACCUCCUCUGUUGAGGAUUGGUCUAAAGGUCAUCCCACCCAUCCAGCAACACGCUGUGACCCCAGUGGAGGAGGGAAAUUCCUGGGGAUGCGUUUAUCCUGUCAGGAGCAUGGUUCCAGUCCCUUCCCCUGGACAAGGAGUGGGCUGCAGAGGCUCACAGGACCAGCAACAAAGGCAGGGACAUGCUGAGCAACCAGCAGCAAGUUGGCACUUUCAGUUCAGAAAGCAUUUAGCAGUGAGCGCCUGCAGCAGCUCCUAGGAAGAUCUCGGUGCACCCUCAGAGUGGCUGGAGAAUCUCACACCUUCAUUGGAAGGACGAGAGAUAAACGAGGUGGGACCGCGCUUUACAGGGUGCCCAGCGGGAGAGGGAAGCAGAAUGGAAAUAUUGAAUGGUUUGUAGGACUUUGCUUCACAGGACAUCAGAGCUCUACCUGAGGUCAGAAGAAAUAUCAUCCUGCUUUAGAUCUUUAGAUCUCUUCUGCUGUGGAGACCCAUCUGAGAGACGGGGGAAGGGCAGCCUGGUGUGUAGAUGACACUCAGCCACUUACAGGUUUUGGCAAGAAGAUUAAAUCCUCUCAAAGCUGAACACUAACCUGUGCAUUGCAGCGUCUCGGGAGCUUCAGUUUUCUCCUCAGGGAUACUGCACAAGCACUGUAGAAAAUACAUCUACUGGAAGGUAUUAAAUGCAUAGAAGCAACCCCUGGUCCAGGAUGGAUGCUGGCUGUACUAGACAACCACUCCAGCGCUGAACUGGAUCUCAGUUUUACCAGGCUGUUCACUUGAGUCCUCAGAAAUGCACAGGUAGUCACUGCCAGCUGGAAUGAAAACAUCCUAAACGGUUCCCAAUUGCAGUAUCAGGUGCAGGAAACAAAUUACUUUUCUGGCUGAGCAAUGCCCACUCCAGAUUCGUGUUCCACAACAACGCUGCUGAAGCAUAAAUGCCCUCUGAAUCCUCUCUCCGCUGGCAAAAGCCAGCCGUGUGCGCCAACUCUCUUAGCUGCGGUGCAGAGUUACUGUCAUCUUUAAACACCCAGGUUUAUUCCAGAAGCUGGCCCUGGCUAGAAGAGGUGGUCACCAUCACAGCCACCCCCGCGUGACAUAAAUGAAGUUCCCAGGAAGGGCAGGAACAGGAUCCUUCUUGUGACACACUACCCAGCUGGUGUGUGCGAGCCCACCCCUCCACACCCCCUGCACCCCCGUCAGCCCCAGCGUGCCACGGGCGCUCAGCUCUGCGGUGCAUUUGGAAUCUCAUACAGUUACGGUAUGAAUCCACAAAUAGCCUGAAGAGCACUUGUCUGGCCCACGCUGCCCGGAGAAGGGCAAAGGUUUCUCAAUGCCAGCUACUGUUCCUCUAAAAUAGAAACAGCCUGCCCCAAGGGGAACAGGAAAGACCCCAACCCUGCCUGAAACAUGGGGUGGCAUGAGUGGGGGUGGCAAGGCGGGUAUCCCAACCCCCGGAGCCACCCUCCUGUCCUCUGGCUGGUGAUCUCCUCUCUCCACCUCCCCAGGGCUUGACUUCCCUUCCCUGGCGGCAAGCAGAGUCUGCGACGAAGGGUAUGUUAAAGCCUGACUGACUCCUGAGGAGCAGAAGGGGGGGCUUCCCCCCCCCUUCUUUGCUGGGAACAGCAAAGUGAGGACAAUGAAGCCAAUUGCUGACUCCAAGGGUAAGCCAGCAAGGAGAAGUCAAUCUGAGAAUUAAAAGCAAGAAGGUUAGGAGGCUUUUGGUUUUGCUGCAUGAAUAUGAUUACAGGGUCAAAUACUCCUUCCUCCAGGAUGGGAGGAACCGGCCCCAGGCUGCGUCAGGGCAGGGUUAGGUUGGAUGUGAGGGAAAAUGCCUUCCCUGCCAGAGGGGUCAGGCCCUGGCACAGGCUGCCCAGAGAGGUGGGGGAGUCACCGUCCCUGGGGGGGUUCAAACACCGUGCAGCCGUGGCACUUGGGGCCAUGGUUUAGGAGGCCUGGGGGUGUUGGGUUGGGGGUUGGACUUGAUGAUCCUAGAGGUCUUUUCCAACCUUAAUGAUUCUGUGAUUCUUAAGUCUUUGAAGAACAGAGUGGAGGGAAAAGGAGAAAAACAGAAGAGUUGUUUUCGCAGGGCCUGAAGGGUAAUGGCGAUCCUCUCCUCAGCUACAGCAGCUUUGGAUGAAGCACCAUCACCUAUAGCACUUAUAGAAGCCAGACUGAGGUGUGUAAACAAGAGUCAAACCAGUUAAUCAAAGUGAAGUCGCUGGGAAGAGCACGGUGCUGUAACACCCUCACCUGUUCUGCAAGAAACAUAAUGCCUGUGUUUGUCAUUAAAUCGUGGUCAAGUGGAACGCUUCCUCCCCAAGAAGUUCCCAUCAUUAGAAAGUUGAGGUGUAGGAGGAGGGAAAGGCUUUGUUUAAGCUGGAGGGAGUGAUUGUUCAUCGGUUAACAAGGCAGGGUGGGCCCAUGGUGAAUUAUUAGGAGUCUGCACAACCUUCUCCCAAUGACCAACAGUAUUGGUUUGUGCAACAGCUGGAGUCAAGACCUGCACAGACGCAGAAAUGAGAACCCCACACUCUUAAAUUCCUGGGGUGUGUGUUUUAAAGCUCCUCCCUCAGAGCACCAUUGCUCUUUUCUUGCCCUUUCAAAGCUGCACAGAUGUAGAGAGACAGAAAACAUAACUGAAGACAGACCAACUGGCUUCUCAACACCAGAAAGGGCUGAGAAAUCGAGAAGUGACAGAGGAAUACUUGAAAGCCAGCACUUGCUGGAGAGCCGCCGCCUACAAGCGCAGCCCGGACACCUGCCUCGUGGCUCACUGAAGGGUAACGGCGCUGUACGGAGCGACUGGAAUCGUCAGCAGAGAGUUGAACAUACAAAUGGCUGAGAGUCACUGCACGGACUGGGCACGCGGGGCUGUCCGCAUCUUUCAGCACUAACCAGCACCCUUCACCGCUGCUCUUGCGUGCUCUAAACAAAGAUGACAAAACAAGGAUACAUCUGCACAGGAUUUUAUUAAAGGAGGCAUUAUCCACAACUUGCAAUAGUUGAAAAAAUAGUCUUAACUUUUCUUUUUUUUUUUUUCCUGAAAAGGUAAUUUAACAGCUACAAUGCUCAAAUGUCUCGAGAGAAGUCUCUGCCCAGAAGUCAAACUUCAAACUGGUAGCAAAAGUUAAAUCAAUCUGAUGUGGUACAAAAUGUAUAAUACCGAAAAUACUGUAACAUAGUUACAACAGAAGUUAAUGGGCAAGAUAGGGAAAAAAUACAUGUGUCAUUGGUCACAGGUCACAAACCAGAACUUCAAACAGGACUCAGACCCUGUAGACAUCUCUAAUCACGUUCCCUGACUGUCACCACCUUGUUACCUCCAAACAACUCUCUGUUGCCAUAUGGUUUAUUUCAGAUUUUGCAAAAAAGAGGAGGGGGAAAAAAAAAAAAAAAAAAGAGAGGAGAAACUUCUAUUCAAAAAGCCGUAGGUUUGAAUUUCACCUUCGUUGCAACACCUUACGCAAAGCUUUCAUGCAAUGCCACAAGCAAGGACAGCGCGUUUCAGGAGAGAGAACAUUCUUGCUCUUCACUCUCGACAGUGUUAGUUGCAGCCUUGAACAAGGGCGAGGGGAGCAGACCCCAUCGCUCUGACUGAUGUAAAGAAAUGGAGUGAGACCCGUCAACACGUCUUUAUUUUAGACAUCUCAUGGAACGGAGGCAACGAGGAGUCCCCAGGGUCUGACGUAUGAAAGACUGGAACGGACGAGACACUUCAGCUCAUAUUAAAGCCCUUCACCUGACGGCUCGGCGCGACAGUUCACUAGGAGAUAACCCUGUUUUGGCAGGGCUGAGGACAAAACCUGAGCCAGUCUUUCCUUGGAGGGUAUGAACGGAGGGCCAACUUUGCUGGCCCAUUGGGCCAAAUAUUACACUUGAACAAUGUGAUAGUUACAACAGCGGCCAAAGUUUAAAAACUUGUAUUUUCAGAAACGUAAACAGUAUAAAAAAAAAGUUUCAAUAACAGGCCACAACCUUAGAGGUUUUUGAGCUUAAAUACCUGGGAAGCGCGUACUUUGCCAAAGUAAGAUACAUACAAAGUCAAGAGACACAAGUUUAACGCUUAAAAUAACUGGGUUUCACCACAGAAUCUUCCAUUUGAAGGUUACUUUCACGAGAAAAACAUAUUCCCUGCACCAUGUAGUUUCCUUUGCAAAGAGACAGAAAUCUGGUCAUGUCGGUUAUCCACUUACUGAGGAAUCACCGCGGGGUUACAGAGAGCGCGACGGACUCACAACUGCCACAGCAUCAUCACAGAAAACACGGCAAACAGGUUGUAGGCAAAAAAAAAAAAUAGAUACUUGACUGUGUUUACCUACACACACUAUUGGAGUAUACAAGACAGAAGAGGGAGAGCUUCAUAUAGGGAAUUUCCAGUCAUUCUGAAAACAAAAGAUGUAUAUGCUUCUCAAGGCACGCCAUAGCUAUAGUAGCCCAUGGCUCAGAUUCACAUCCAUGGAAACCAGUAUUUGACCCAAAAUGGCUUUCCUGUCUCUCUCUCUCUUUCCACAGUUUGUAAUUCCUCAAAGUCUCCUAAGUAGCUUUCAGCUAGACAUAUCUUCCUUGCAUGCACCUGCUAAGGGUCCCUUGUUAAUCCCAGAAUCUCCUCUGCAUGAAACUCAAUGAGCAGAACGGCCCUUAACUGUAGCUAGAAGAUGGUUUCAGCUUCUGGAUCCCUCUCUAAAGAAUAAAGGCGUGUGACAGUUACACAUAAAUAGCAUCUACAAAUACACUUACAGUGCACAUGGAAAACGUAGUGAAUGUGAACAGAUUUCAGAGGCUGACUUGACUCUACCGUAAGGCUCCAUCAUCAGCCCGCCCUUAAAACUUGCUCCAGGCAGUAUGUCAUCGUGCUAGCACGGCAAACAACUGGGAUGACCAAAAGUAGUGCUAAUUACCCAUAAACCCAUACCCGGGCAUUGCCUUCUUGAAAUACGCCCCAGAUUCACAUACACGUAACAGCAAUUCGGAUUUCUGAUCUACCUCCAAGGUUAAAAUGAAGGCAGCGCUUUCAAAGAACAGGACAAAGCUUAGCUUGUAAACCCUAUUUUUUGAAAGCUUAAUGAGAAUUCAAGUCCUAUUCCCCUUCACAUUUACAAGCAUUAUAAGAAUAAUGCUACUUUGUAUGCCCUAUGUAUAGAAAAGUGUAUGUUUAUACAGCACUCUCUCUCUCUCUAUAUAUAUAUAUAUGUAUAGGAACUAUCAACCAAAGUUUGACUUCAAACUGGAAUUGCAACGACCCCUACAAUUUGGAAACAUGAAGUAGCUCUUCUGAUGUCUCUUUUGCAAGCAAAGAACAGAAAGGAUCAUAUCUUACUAUGAUCUAACAUCCUCCACCAGGAAAAUGGAAACCCUAUUGUUAACUUUGCGAGGAUAUGCCUGAAACACUAGGUUUGACAUAUUGCCCCAGGUUGUUUGCCACAGCAGAGGCAGGCAGCCGGAACGAUCUGCGAGUCAUCAGCCAGGAGUAAGUCCUUGCUUUUUUUUGUUUUUCUAGCUGAUUAAGUGUGAAAGUUCAAGAAUUCCACCUUUGUCAUUGGUGCUGUGCUUGGAAACAGUGCCAAACGUGAUGUUGUUUACCUAAUAGUACACUCCUGCUACAAUAUGUUCCUGCCCAACUCUAUUGCUACUUACAAAAAUAAUAAUAAACGACAUGCUCUAAGACUCAGAAAAUUAUAAACUAAUUUCAGCCAUUUCUUCCUGGUCCUCUGUGGAAAUCUGGAAAUAUCUUACGAAGUAUUUCAGUUAGCUUGAGCAAUCCUGGAGUCAGACCCAAGGAAGCUGAACAUUGUAGUCACCAGCUCAGGGAGAUCAUAAUCAUGUUUCCAACCCCAAUCCCUCCGGGCGUUCCUGUCAUCAAAGUUCAUCGGCCAGCUGUCAGCUGCAGUGAAAAGAAAAAGGAACACAGAGCAUAAGGUUUAAGAAAAAUUUUUUCAAACUUUAAGAUGUAUCCUCACUGGCCAUUUGAACUAUUAAAGCUGAAUUUCAAACUGUUAGACUUGAACCGGAGCAAUUUGCAAGUGCCUAAAAAGAAAAACUUUGUUUUGCCCUUAACGUAGAGCCAGCUAUUGUUUUUUCUUACCCGCUGCCAAAGAAGCUGAUACUAACCUAUGGCCUGCCUGACUUCAUCCACAUUGUAGGUCACCUGGAGCUCAGGAACAUGCUUCUGCACCUCUUGUGCCAGCUCUUCAGGAGUGAAGCUCAUGGCACUGAUGUUGUAUGUCCUCAUGCUCAGUGCCUCUGCGGGGGCCUCCAUGACCUCCAGAGUCGCUCUCAGACAGUCAUCAAUAUACA